CUUUUGCAACAGGAAACAGGGACAUAGGCUUCAGCAAAGGAUUGACUCAACUAUCCCAUAUGCCUUUUUUUUUUUUUUUUUUUUAAAGAACAUUAUUUAAAAAUUUCUUACAUGUCGGGCAGCACUAGAGGGAAGGCCGUCCCGGGCAAGGUGGGGCCCAGCGCACAGACCCCAGCGCCACGGGGUCCCCUGGCUUCACCACCCCCAACCCCAUCAUGUUCCAGAGGCAUCGCAGGCUCCCUCCGCAGGACAGCUGCGCAUAGAGGUGCAGAAGGAGAGAGACUCGCAAGCUCCAUCUCACGACUCUGAGCUCAUGACCUAAGCUGAAACCCAGAGUCAGACACUCAACCGACUGAACCAUGCAGGCAACCCUCAAAAGGUGAAACAGUGCACACCGGAUGCUCCGGACAGAUGGACGUGUCCGGGAUAGACACACCUGUGCGUAGAAAGCAGCCCGGCAGGUGCCACAGCCUGGGGAGGGAGGGUUCAGGGGGUCCUUUAAGUAGGUGUGGGCUUCCCGACGAAGACUUUAUCUCCAUGCAAUCUCUCCGCCCAGCGUGGGCCUGGAACUCAUGACCCUGAGAUCAAGAGUCACCGGCCAGCCGGGCGCCUGCAGAGGUGCCUUCGAGUGCAGGCAACGAGGGAGAAGCGGGGAAUGCACUGAUCCUUCACUUUCAGAUGGUUGAUUCUUUGUUACGUGAAUUUCACCUCAAUAAAGGAUGGUCUUUUAAA